UGGGAAACAGUGCUUGAAGAUGCAGUUCAAAUAGGAGCCAUUAAAUACAUAAAAAGAUUCAUCUUGUCCACCCUACAUGUGGAAAAUGUGGCUGGCUCAGGCAAGCACAGCAUGGGCUGGCUUCUCCGACCCUCCAGAGUGGCAUGGUUCUUCAGACUCACUUUCCAGGUACUGCAAUGAAUGGCUCCUCGCUGAUCUUUCCAAAUUGACAAUAGUGGCUGCAAACAAAGAAGUCGAUGUGUUCCCAGAGUUGGGAACCUUCAAUCUACACAAUAGAAACAACAAAAGUAAAGUAACUUUAAGUUGCCU
rnacentral:lncRNA from 1 species